rnacentral:lncRNA from 1 species
UGUCAGCUCCAUGAGGGCAGAUACUCAUCUGCCUGUUCAUAAGAACCUUCCUAGGGCUUAUGAUGGUGAGGUUCUAGGGAAGGUGCUUACUAAAUAGUUUUGAAUAACUGAAUACAGGGACACAUGAUGGGAUUUACAAGUGUCCACGUUCACUCCACAAGCCUAAUGUGCAAAAACACAGCUACAAUAGAGAUUUGGUUAACUAUAGGACUGGUGCACCAACCUCUCUGGAAGUAAUCCCUGGCCUACCUUGGCAAGGACUUUUUCAUAUGAACACAUGCAUCGUAUGUGAACUACUGCCUGUGGGCUAAAACCAGCCUGAUACCUAUUUUUGUAAAUAAAGUUUUAUUGGACCUGGCCAACAUGGUGAAACCCUGUCUCUACUAAAAAUACAAAAUUAGCUGGGCAUAGUGGCUCAUGCCUGUAAUCCCAGCUACUUGGGAGACUGAGGCUCGAGAAUCACUUGAACUUGGGAG